GUGCAAAAAUGGUUAAACUUGCUCCCAAUAUUGAUUUCCAUUCUUCUACUUUGUCAGCUGGACUCAUUAUUACACCAGUUGAUUUUCAUGAAUGGUACAUAA